rnacentral:rRNA from 1 species
GGGGCUAGCGUUGUUCGGAAUUACUGGGCGUAAAGCGCGCGUAGGCGGACCUGCAAGUCGGGGGUGAAAGCCCGAGGCUCAACCUCGGAACUGCCUUCGAUACUGCGGGUCUCGAGUCCGGGAGAGGUGAGUGGAAUUCCUAGUGUAGAGGUGAAAUUCGUAGAUAUUAGGAAGAACACCAGUGGCGAAGGCGGCUCACUGGCCCGGUACUGACGCUGAGGCGCGAAAGCGUGGGGAGCAAACAGG